rnacentral:rRNA from 1 species
UAGGGAAUCUUGCGCAAUGGGCGAAAGCCUGACGCAGCGACGCCGCGUGCGGGAAGAAGGCCUUCGGGUUGUAAACCGCUUUCAGGAGGGACGAAGCCACUCGGGUUAAUACCCCAGAGGGUGACGGUACCUCCAGAAGAAGCCCCGGCUAACUACGUGCCAGCAGCCGCGGUAAUACGUAGGGGGCAAGCGUUGUCCGGAUUUAUUGGGCGUAAAGAGCGUGUAGGCGGCCAGAUAGGUCAGCUGUGAAAACUCGAGGCUCAACCUCGAGAUGUCGGCUGAAACCAUCUGGCUAGAGUCCGGAAGAGGAGAAUGGAAUUCCCGGUGUAGCGGUGAAAUGCGCAGAUAUCGGGAAGAACACCCGUGGCGAAGGCGGUUCUCUGGGACGGUACUGACGCUGAGACGCGAAAGCGUGGGGAGCGAACA